UACAGAGGUCUCAAGCGUUGUUCGGAUUCAUUGGGCGUAAAGGGUGCGUAGGUGGCGCUGUAAGUCAGGUGUGAAAUUUCGGAGCUUAACUCCGAAACUGCAUUUGAUACUGCGGUGCUUGAGGACUGGAGAGGAGACUGGAAUUUACGGUGUAGCAGUGAAAUGCGUAGAGAUCGUAAGGAAGACCAGUGGCGAAGGCAGUGUCCUGGCUGGCAACUGACGCUGGAGGCGCGAAAGCUAGGGGAGCGAACAGG
rnacentral:rRNA from 1 species